rnacentral:rRNA from 1 species
CGCCUCUUGAAUUAAUAUAAGAGGUCCAGCCUGCCCAGUGACCCUGUUCAACGGCCGCGGUAUCCUAACCGUGCGAAGGUAGCGUAAUCACUUGUUCUUUAAAUGAGGACUAGUAUGAACGGCAUCACGAAGGUUAUACUGUCUCCUUUUUCUAAUCAGUGAACCUAAUCUCCCCGUGAAGAAGCGGGGAUGUAAUUAUAAGACGAGAAGACCCUAUGGAGCUUAAAACAACACAGCACUUGCUAAAAAACUAAACAAUUUCAGAAUUCUCAUUUUCUAAGCAACAUGACUGUAAGUUUUUGGUUGGGGUGACCACGGAGUAUAAUAUAACCUCCAUGUUGAAAGAAUUUUAUUCUAAGCCAGAAAUUACAUUUUUAAGCAUCAAUAAAUUGACAUCUAUUGACCCAAUAUAUUUGAACAACGAACCAAGUUACCCUAGGGAUAACAGCGCAAUCCACUUCAAGAGCUCCUAUCGACAAGUGGGUUUACGACCUCGAUGUUGGAUCAGGGUAUCCCAGUGGUGCAGCCGCUACUAAAGGUUCGUUUGUUCAACGAUUAAAACCCU